CACAGGUGGUCGGGUAGAGAAUACCAAGGCGCUUGAGAGAACUCGGGUGAAGGAACUAGGCAAAAUGGUACCGUAACUUCGGGAGAAGGUACGCUCUUGAUGGUGAAGUCCCUCGCGGAUGGAGCUGACGAGAGUCGCAGAUACCAGGUGGCUGCAACUGUUUAUUAAAAACACAGCACUGUGCAAAAUCGCAAGAUGACGUAUACGGUGUGACGCCUGCCCGGUGCCGGAAGGUUAAUUGAUGGGGUUAGCGCAAGCGAAGCUCUUGAUCGAAGCCCCGGUAAACGGCGGCCGUAACUAUAACGGUCCUAAGGUAGCGAAAUUCCUUGUCGGGUAAGUUCCGACCUGCACGAAUGGCGUAAUGAUGGCCACGCUGUCUCCACCCGAGACUCAGUGAAAUUGAAAUCGCUGUGAAGAUGCAGUGUACCCGCGGCUAGACGGAAAGACCCCGUGAACCUUUACUACAGCUUGGCACUGAACAUUGAACCUACAUGUGUAGGAUAGGUGGGAGGCUAUGAAGACGUGACGCCAGUUGCGUUGGAGCCGUCCUUGAAAUACCACCCUUGUAUGUUUGAUGUUCUAACUUAGACCCAUUAUCUGGGUUGAGGACAGUGCCUGGUGGGUAGUUUGACUGGGGCGGUCUCCUCCCAAAGAGUAACGGAGGAGCACGAAGGUGGGCUAAUCACGGUUGGACAUCGUGAGGUUAGUGCAAUGGCAUAAGCCCGCUUAACUGCGAGAAUGACGGUUCGAGCAGGUGCGAAAGCAGGUCAUAGUGAUCCGGUGGUUCUGUAUGGAAGGGCCAUCGCUCAACGGAUAAAAGGUACUCCGGGGAUAACAGGCUGAUACCGCCCAAGAGUUCAUAUCGACGGCGGUGUUUGGCACCUCGAUGUCGGCUCAUCACAUCCUGGGGCUGAAGUCGGUCCCAAGGGUAUGGCUGUUCGCCAUUUAAAGUGGUACGCGAGCUGGGUUUAGAACGUCGUGAGACAGUUCGGUCCCUAUCUGCCGUGGGCGUUGGAAGAUUGAAGGGGGCUGCUCCUAGUACGAGAGGACCGGAGUGGACGAACCUCUGGUGUUCGGGUUGUGUCGCCAGACGCAUUGCCCGGUAGCUAAGUUCGGAAUUGAUAAGCGCUGAAAGCAUCUAAGCGCGAAGCGAGCCCUGAGAUGAGUCUUCCCUGAUACUUUAAGUAUCCUAAAGGGUUGUUCGAG
rnacentral:rRNA from 1 species